rnacentral:lncRNA from 1 species
GGUGAAAUGGUCUGAGAAACCAAGUUUCGUAUUUUAGGGUCAUUUUAAUUUGACUGGAUAGUAUUUUUUCGUAUAUUUGCAAUUUAAAUUGUAGAAUUUAAAAAUAAACAAAGAAUAUGGAUUCUAUUUAUAAAAUAAAAAAUAUUUGUUGAAUUUGGUGGAUUCCAAGGCUAAUUGACUAUAUGAGCAAAUGACUUGUAAUCCUUCCACCGUUGAGAGUGAGAGGUAAUCGCUGCUCUGUGAAACCAGCCUCACGCAUUACCCUCAAGUUUAGGGAGAAUAUGAUUCAAGCGUUAGCCUGAAACAAAACAUCCACUGCCCAACUUGGAAACGGGCAAAUCAAAGCUAGCUCAUAAUGUAAACCUUGAAUUCAAUACCAAAUUAUUCAAAUACCUUAAUGCUCCACUUGGUGACAAGCCUACGUUACCGAGCUCAGCGAUUGAUUUGUAGAUUUCUUGUAUAUAAACAACAAAGCAUUUUUAAUUUCUUCGAUGUGGGAUUAUUUCUUAUAGUAUUAUUUUGUUAUAUAAGUUAAAAAUAAAAAUCUUCAGAUGGGGUGAAAUGGUCUGAGAAACCAAGUUUCGUAUUUUAGGGUCAUUUUAAUUUGACUGGAUAGUAUUUUUUCGUAUAUUUGCAAUUUAAAUUGUAGAAUUUAAAAAUAAACAAAGAAUAUGGAUUCUAUUUAUAAAAUAAAAAAUAUUUGUUGAAUUUGGUGGAUUCCAAGGCUAAUUGACUAUAUGAGCAAAUGACUUGUAAUCCUUCCACCGUUGAGAGUGAGAGGUAAUCGCUGCUCUGUGAAACCAGCCUCACGCAUUACCCUCAAGUUCAGGGAGAAUAUGAUUCAAGCGUUAGCCUGAAACAUAACAUCCACUGCCCAACUUGGAAACGGGCAAAUCAAAGCUAGCUCAUAAUGUAAACCUUGAAUUCAAUACCAAAUUAUUCAAAUACCUUAAUGCUCCACUUGGUGACAAGCCCACGUUACCGAGCUCAGCGAUUGAUUUGUAGAUUUCUUGUAUAUAAACAACAAAGCUUUUUUAAUUUCUUCGAUGUGGGAUUAUUUCUUAUAGUUUAUUUUGUUAUAUAAGUUAAAAAUAAAAAUCUUCAGAUGGGGUGAAAUGGUCUGAGAAACCAAGUUUCAUAUUUUAGGGUCAUUUUAAUUUGACUGGAUAGUAUUUUUUCGUAUAUUUGCAAUUUAAAUUGUAGAAUUUAAAAAUAAACAUAGAAUAUGGAUUCUAUUUAUAAAAUAAAAAAUAUUUGUUGAAUUUGGUGGAUUCCAAGGCUAAUUGACUAUAUGAGCAAAUGACUUGUAAUCCUUCCACCGUUGAGAGUGAGAGGUAAUCGCUGCUCUGUGAAACCAGCCUCACGCAUUACCCUCAAGUUUAGGGAGAAUAUGAUUCAAGCGUUGGCCUGAAACAUAGCAUCCACUGCCCAACUUGGAAACGGGCAAAUCCAAGUUAGCUCAUAAUGUAAACCUUGAAUUCAAUACCAAAUUAUUCAAAUACCUUAAUGCUCCACUUGGUGACAAGCCCACGUUACCGAGCCCAGCGAUUGAUUUGUAGAUUUCUUGUAUAUAAACAACAAAGCUUUUUUCAAUUUCUUCGAUGUGGGAUUAUUUCUUAUAGUGGUAUUUUGUUAUAUAAGUAUAAAAAAUAAAUCUUCAGAUGGGGUGAAAUGGUCUGAGAAACCAAGUUUCGUAUUUUAGGGUCAUUUUAAUUUGACUGGAUAGUAUUUUUUCGUAUAUUUGCAAUUUAAAUUGUAGAAUUGAAAAAUAAACAAAGAAUAUGGAUUCUAUUUAUAAAAUAAAAAAAUAAUUGUUGAAUUUGGUGGAUUCCAAGGCUAAUUGACAAUAUGAGCAAAUGACUUGUAAUCCUUCCACCGUUGAGAGAGAGAGGUAAUCGCUGCUCUGUGAAACCAGCCUCACGCAUUACCCUCAAGUUUAGGGAGAAUAUGAUUCAAGCGUUAGCUUGAAACAUAACAUCCACUGCCCAACUUGGAAUCGGGCAAAUUAAAGCUAGCUCAUAAUGUAAACCUUGAAUUCAAUACCAAAUUAUUCAAAUACCUUAAUACUCCACUUGGUAAGAAGCCCACGUUACCGAGCUCAGCGAUUGAUUUGUAGAUUUCUUGUAUAUAAACAACAAAGCUUUUUUCAAUUUCUUUUGAUGUGGGAUUAUUUCUUAUAGUGGUAUUUUGUUAUAUAAGUUUAAAAAAAAAAUCUUCAGAUGGGGUGAUAUGGUCAGAGAAACCAAUUUUCCUAUUUUAGGGUCAUUUUGUAUAUUUGCAAUUUAAAUUGUUGAAUUGAAAAAUAAACAAAGAAUAUAGAUUCUAUUUAUAAAAUAAAAAAUAUUUGUUGAAUUUGGUGGAUUCCAAGGCUAAUUGACUAUAUGAGCAAAUGACUUGUAAUCCUUCCACCGUUGAGAGUGAGAGGUAAUCGCUGCUCUGUGAAACCAGCCUCACGCAUUACCCUCAAGUUUAGGGAGAAUAUGAUUCAAGCGUUAGCCUGAAACAUAACAUCCACUGCUCAACUUGGAAACGGGCAAAUCAAAGCUAGCUCAUAAUGUCAACCUUGAAUUCAAUCCCAAAUUAUUCAAAUACCUU